CGGAUCGUAAAGCUCUGUUGUUAGGGAAGAACAAGUGCCGUUCAAAUAGGGCGGCACCUUGACGGUACCUAACCAGAAAGCCACGGCUAACUACGUGCCAGCAGCCGCGGUAAUACGUAGGUGGCAAGCGUUGUCCGGAAUUAUUGGGCGUAAAGGGCUCGCAGGCGGUUUCUUAAGUCUGAUGUGAAAGCCCCCGGCUCAACCGGGGAGGGUCAUUGGAAACUGGGGAACUUGAGUGCAGAAGAGGAGAGUGGAAUUCCACGUGUAGCGGUGAAAUGCGUAUAGAUGUGGAGGAACACC
rnacentral:rRNA from 1 species